rnacentral:rRNA from 1 species
CACGUAGGCACCAAGCGUUGUCCGGAUUUAUUGGGCGUAAAGAGCUCGUAGGCGGUUCGGUAAGUCGGGUGUGAAAACUUUGGGCUCAACCCAAAGCGUGCACUCGAUACUGCUGUGACUAGAGUUCGGUAGGGGAGUGGGGAAUUCCUAGUGUAGCGGUGAAAUUCGUAGAGAUUGGGUGGAACACCAGUGGCGAAGGCGCCUAUCUGGCUGACAACUGACGCUGAGACUCGAAAGCAUGGGGAGCAAACAGG